UGACCUCUGUCUGAAUAACCAUGGGGAGAAAAACAGCUUGGAUCUUACCCAACAGUGAAAUUCAAGGUUAGCCAAGGAAAAUCUAAAACUAUGUCAAGCAAUUGGACACUCCCUGGCUGUUUCCCCACUGAACAACCACUGAGAAAAGACUGAAUCCCUUUCUCUCUACAUUUACCCACAAGGUAAGUCUAGCUGCUGAGUUAUUGUACAGUGGGAUUUAUUAUUGAAAGGUGAGUUUGGAGAGUUCAUGAUGAGGGAUUAGAGUCAGUCUUGAAUCCCUCUUGCUGUCACAAAAACACAUCCCCCUCAAAAGGGGCCUACUUUAGGUGUAGUCAGUGGUUACUCAAGGUCAACAUUUCUUUUUCUGUAUACCGUUAAUUGUUAGCAGACCUGCCAGAACCUUGGGAAUCAAGAAUAGAGUUGGACUUAAAAGCCCACAUCUACAACAAAAUGAUUAACAGCACUUAAAUGCAGGUGUCUGUUUGCAGAGAUUAUUUAAAGGCUAGAUCAUGGUAAAAUAAUGGAUUGCAUUAUAGCCAAUUUUGGAACCUGCUGGCUAUAGUCAAAUGAGAAUACACAUAUACCUCUCAGAACAACGGCCAACUUCUCUGCAUUUCCAGUUUGCGAUAUAACUCACUUUUCUGUUAGCUACGUCAUUUACAGCCCAAUUAUCAAGUUGGACAGCCAAAAAGUGAAGAUCAAACACAAAGUGAAAUCCACCCUUCUGCAUACGCCUGAUAAAUAGGCUGUAGUGUCUUAAUUCAUCGUAUCCUUGAACAGCACGCAUUCAUCUGUUUCAAGAGAGUCUCAGUUUCAUUAAAACACGAUAGCAACACAAAGGUUUCAUUCCUGCUUACUUCAACAAUGUGAGGAUUUCAUUGCAACUAAUAGGUAAUAAGUUUGGCAAAAUAACAAAAUAAUGAGAAAUGAGAAAUAAAAAUGAAAGUCAUGCCCUGAAGAAAAGAAAACAUUCCAGGAAGCUGAGAAAGCUUGAAAUUCACCAGUUCUCAUUACACAUGGGUAAUCAAAUUUAUCUCUUGAGCUAAACUAUGACACUUUGAUCAGGAAUGGAGUGUUAGCUGCACUCACAUGAAAUUAUCUUUUAGAGAUUAAAAAAAUAUAUCGUAAGAUUAUGCUGAUGGGAUCAGGGGUGUUAUAUGGAAAGCUGUGUUUUACCACCUUCUGCGCUUCAGACUUUUUCAUGCCAACAACAACCCCGCUGAUUUCCUAAUGGCCAAUCUCACAGAGACAAAAACACUUCCUAUUCUACACUUUCUGUAGCUAUUAAGUUGACAUCAUGACCAGUACUUUCUGCUUCCUGUGCUCUGCAGACAGUUUCCUGCAUUGGGGACCGACAUCUCAAGCAAAAAUGCUAUUUAGUGAGAACUAGGAACUAUUGGGUGAUUAACUGAGUAGCCAGCACCUAAACACAGAAACCUCUUCACCAAAAGAGGUUGAAGUUGACCUCAGAUUUGUUGAUUUUUAUUUCUAAAGAGUUCCCCACAGAACGCUUUGAUGGCUGAAGAAGUCUUUGCAGUCCUCUCCAAAUGUCAUGGCGCCACACUUAAUUCACCAGCAUCUGGUAUUAAUCCUCUCUUAUUCUUUUGUAUUACUGGUGGUUAGAGUACAGCUUUUAGAUAGACUACAUUCACUUUAGAAUAGAAGAAUAGAAUAUUCCUUUAUUGAUCCCCCAUGGGAGGCUGGUACUGCUUAUAGCCAGAUCUUGGUAAAAAAUCAUGGUAAGAAAUAUACUCUUAACAUGCAAUAAGUCACAAUUCAUUUGAUUUCUUAUAAUAAAAGUACACAUAUUUGUCUUUUUUUUUAAAUAUAACAUUUUGGAUAGGUCCAGGUUAACUUUUUAUAAUUAUCUGUGUGUGCACUGUGAGGAUGAUGAGUGUACUUAUUCCUCUAUAUUUGUUGCGCAGAUUCUUUGCUGCUGUUAACUCUGCAAAUUUCCCCACCAUGGGAUGAAUAAAGGUUUAUCUUAUCUUAAUCAAUGAGUGUUUAAGUAUGAGGAAUAAUGAUUUAUCUCUACUCAUGGCAUAAGGCCAAAGCCCUCUAAAAUUCUGGUGGACAUAACCACUAAGACUAUAGAGGUGAACCAGAAAGCAUUUGACACCAGAACUCCUGCUCUUUGCUGACAGUUUACCAAAGAGUUACUUUUUGGGCUGUUAGCAAAAGAAGCAAUAAAAUGAAGAAAAAUGUUAAUGUUAUGAGUGAAGAAUGGCUUACUUCUGGAGCACUUGUAGUAAUAAGAGCUGUCGAAAUAUCAUAUUUUCACCUCAUUAUUAUUGUGGCAAUGACAGUAAAAUAGUUAUUGGAACAUUCAUGGAAGACUUGAAAAUUGAAACAACACUUUACAACAAACAACAACAACACAAUCAGUCAAACUCAUGACUUUGUAAACUCAACUAAGAAUAUAUACCAUCUAGCUCAAAUAAUAUUCAAAUUCAUGACUUAGGACAUUGCCACAUUAAACAAUUGAAUAUAUGCACACUCUUUUCUCUUUUGCUCUUACUCAUCUUGUGUGAAAACCAGUAUAAACAGGACCACCAUCGUAAAGUCUUGGUACUACCAUAUUUAUUUUUACUUCAAUACCGGUAUAUUGCAACAGCCCUAGUAGUCAUUGAUUGUAAAGUCAGGAUAAUGAUACAUUACAUGCUGGAUUGAAAAAAAAUUGUGCUAGAGAUUUCAUAAUACCUGUACUGAUUUAUAAAAUGUGACCAGGACAGUUGACUGAGGUAUAUUAUUAUUAUUAUAUUGAAAAUAAUAAGAUUAAACUAACUAGACAGCAUUUUCUCCAAACCAAACUCACGGAUUUAAACCCAAACAGCACUUAUUUUGCUCUUUAUGUUGUUCUAAAGAAGAGUUUGAAUUGCCUUCCUUUUCCCAUUUCUCAAUGCCUUCAGUUCAGUGCAGCAAAAAGGUCAGAACCACAAACUUUCAUCAGAUUUGUUCAGCCAAUAAAAGUCAGGCUGGACCACCAUAGACUGCUUCUUAAUUGGCAGCUCUGUGCAGCACUAAUGUGAUUUGGGCAAAAGAAACCCUUUUCUAAUGCACCUAUUUAGACUGAGGACUUGUUCUAUACUUAUAAUCCAAUUGCCAGGGAAUAAUCCAUGUGACUGAGCACUGAAUCCGUUUGUGGUUUUCAGAAACACUUCAUAGUCAGAGAGAAUCCUGACAGGCAAAACUGUGAAAGUGCUAUUGUGUAAAAGAUCUGUCAAGUUUUCACCUGUUUUGCAUCUCAUGAAACAGAUCAUUUAUUGAGGGCUGGUGUUAGUCUCCUCUCUGAUUGUGCCCUGAGUUUGAUGAACUACAAUAUGAAGCAAAUCUGUAUAAAUAGCACGGACAUCAUUUCUGACGUGUUGAUGACUGAGAGCAUCAGGAUAAUAGUUGCAGAGAAUCUUGGACAUCGGUGUUUUUCUUCAGUGCAUAAAAUUUUCCAGUGUUUCACUUGGAAUUGUGAAGGAAACUCAGUGAGAUGUUAUUUUCCUCCAUGAUGUCCAACCGUGACAAAAACAAUGUCUCAAUACGGAGGUUUAACAAAAACAUUUGCUGGUACGUACAGGAUUUUUUUUUUCCUCUUGUGAUUUAUGUUAUACCCAGGUGCAUUUUUUUCUCCUUUUGACCUCAAGCUUAAUUUUCAAAGCCAUUUUUAACCUGCAGCUUGUCAGCUUUUGAGGAUAUAUAUUCUCAAGUUUACAGUGAGUGACUCAUCCACCUUUUGGACUCCACUAUCUUCAAAAAGGAGUCUCUGAAGGCUGGGCACGAUAGCCAGCUUGGAUAUUUCGCAACCACAGAACAGCUGUGGGCAUGACGAUGAUAGCCAGCAUUCCUCACAGGCAGGAAACUCCUCUCCUCCCAUGGGCAAAGUGUGAUGUUUUUCCUGUUUGAUUCUUGGGCCACCCCUACAACUGUGAAUACCACAAAGAACCUGGACAGAGUCCAAAUGGUGCUCACAAGAUGACACUCAAGACCAUGUGGUUUGUGUGGAGAUCCUUUCUGAGCUGACUACAGUUAUGAUAUAAAUGAACAAAUUUAGAAAUUAGAUUCAAGAGUCACAUAUGAUAAAUUCUGACAAACAAGAACAAACAUACUGACAUAUCACUAACAGAACUGUUGUAAAGUACUCUUCAUGAGAUGAUUUUCCCCACAUUCUAUCACGUCUGGAUGGAAUUAAUGUGUGAACUUCAUUUAGAUUCCAAAAGAGCUCACACACAAAAAAAAGACUUUACCAGGAAGGGCAAGUCAUGACCAAGAACUGAACACAAGAACAUGCAAAUGCCAAAGUCAAUUCACUCACAGCAAUAGUGUGUAAAAGAAAUCUUGAGAGUAAAUUAACAACAGGAAGAUACCAUUAUCAUUAAGUAUUGAAAACACAUCACUUUAAAUGUAGUAAGAGUGAGGAAUAGAAAUGAGGGUGAUGCCCCUGCAAUCAUGGUGUGGUUAUAAAACAGGAUGAAAUGUGCUAUUCUAUUGGCAAACUGGCUGUAAACAAAGGAUGUGGCCUUAAUUAACAUCAGAACAUCUGUAGUGUGCGAGCAAAAAAGUGUUACUCUGGGAGUGAUUUUUGAGACCACGCAAGUGAAAAUAGAGUCUUUUCACAUUUGACACUUCUGGUGUUAUUCAAACCAUGACAGCACCUUUCCUGGCAACUGAUGGGUCUAAAUAGGAGCAAUACCGUCACCCCUCUCCAUGAAUGAGUACAUAAUAUGCCCAAGCACUUGUGUUUUUAAAAUGUGAAGUGUUAAAAUGUGUAUCAUCAUGAUUAUUGUUGUUGUUAUGGAUGACCUCCUCCAAAAUCAGUUAGAAGCUUUUAAGACUGGAUGGGGAGGUAGUUUUGUUAACUCUUUGAUGUACAGCAUGAUAACUCGUCCCCACGGUGCUAGCUUUCAACAACCCUUCAGGAUUAACUUGUUAUAAUGAGCCAUAUUAUAGUCCAACUGUGAUUUUCGAUAUGAACUUUAAAAAAGCUUUUUAGAGCAAUCAGAAUAGAGAUAGACCCAUAAAUCAGGCUGAUUGAUGAUGUUUUGAAACAGUUUGUAUUGGCUGAUGCCUGCAUUCACAUGGCCAAUUAAAAAACAUCUACAGGGAGUGUGGCAAUAAUGCAGGUCUGUGUUGUUUCUGACACGAAUAUAAGUCAUGUUCUAUUUUCCUAUUUUAUAUCAAUAUUUUAACGUCUCAAUAUAUCAUAAAUUAAUUACAUUUAAAACAUGUUUCUGGCUCAGAUGACGUAUGCUAGACAGCUAUGUGCAUGGGAAAUUGGCUUAUGUUUUUACACAAGUAUAAAAAAAGAAAACAGCAGCAGCAACAACAUGACACCGGAUAUCUGCUCCACAGUGACACAAGAUAUUCCUCUUGCUUUUGCAAACGCAGAAAUAUUUUAAUCUCAGUAGACUUACAAAGUAUGUUCUUAUUCACUGGAUUUUUGUCUCUGUUGCAUUUAUGUAUUUGAUCCUUUUAAGCUAACAAGGACUCAUAUGUCUGAAAUACAGAAAGGGAAAAUGCAAGGAUAAUUUUGCCCACAAGUCUGUACUCAAAGUAGCUCUGGUUUUUGUGAUGGUUUGGGAUUUUAUUUUUAUCAGCCUCCACAGUACCCUCAACAACACCAAAAUUAUGUGUGAAACACCCUUAAACCUUCAUGCAUGGACAACACUCAUUCUCACAUCCAGGUCUGCAACACAUACUUCUACAUGAUUACAGGUGUACACUCUAACUAAUGUUUCCGUCCCCAGCCACAAAAAUGUGAUAUCAAAACUUUCUGGGAGUUACCGUGAGGUCCACAUUUAAAAAUAGACAGACUGGUUCUAGGAAAGAUUGGGAGAUGGAAAUCACCUAAACUGUGGCACAUGUCGAAAUACCAGGCAGCACACAGACAGUAAACAAAUCCUUUAAGUCAUUAUCUCACUCCAGAUAUGUUUAUUUAACAACAUACUUUGCGAUAUUUUCAGCACUGAUAUCAUAGAUUUUAAUCUUAUCAUAUAUCAACAAGGUUGGUAUAUCAAAACAUGCGCUAGAAAGGAACGGAUCUUUGACAUUAAGUUUUGCUCAAACAUCCCUGCUUAUCUCAAAAUCAUCACUGUGGACAGAAAAAGUUCCAGAGUUAUCUGCCUUGACAUAAAUAUCUAAGUAAAUCAAAUCAAAACCAGACACUAGACUUGUGCUUCGGAAAAAAACGGUUACAGAAAACAUUUCAAAGUGAAAUGUAGUUUGUCUUUUCAAAUUUGCAACUGGACAUGUUAAACUUUCAUGAUGAAAAGAUGUCAAAAGUUGUUGUAGAGCUGCAUUACCAUCUGUGCAUGUAGGGACUGUUUGUUUGCAUUCUACAGUGUUUUUUGUUUGUGCACCAAAGGCCUCACCAUGUUUAUUCUUUUUACGCAUAUAAGUAUCUGUGCUUGCAAUAACUACCUUAUUAACAACCAAGUUCUUGCUUAGAGUUAGAGUAGGAAGUUAAGCAUUUUAUUGGUCUUUCAAAAUGCUUUACGCCUGAAAUGACCAGUAAUGGUUCUGCCUCAUUCAAACAAUGGGGUGAAAGACUGGGAGUAUUUGAUCACUUAGAUGUCCCUCUUAAAUUAACCAUGUAACUCAAUGAUGGAAACAAAUAAAGAAACAGAUGGAUGGCUGAAAUGCUCCCAUAAAAAGUCACUUAAGUAAAAGCAAGGCAGUCAACAGAUACGCAUGUGCUUAUGAAAACAGUUUUUUUUUUUAAAGAAAAGGGUAGUUGCCAAGUUGGUGUAUGUGCACAACACGCAAACAACUGCCAUGUAAAAGUUCAGUUAAUAAUGCCAGUAUCUUCCAAGACUUGUUUUUGCUGUGCACAUGCAGGGAACACAGUUUUAAAAAACCUCAACUUUUGAGGUUGUUUUUGAAAACUUCUAAAAUUCUCAUUCAUACACACUUAGGGUGUGUACGAAUAGUCAAAGGGCACAGAAAGAUCAACUAUAUAAAAUGACCUAACUAUGAGUGGACAGUAGGUUAACGUGUCACACCACAGUGCCAUUGUUAGGGGCAACGACAGACCUCCUACAGUAAUAUAUCACAAACACACACAGCCCAACAGGUAACCUGAUCCCUCACAAAUGCAAGCUUGGGUCAAUCCAAAAAUCAUUAGAAGCUUUACCAGCACCUGCCCAUGAGAUUUAACAUCUUAGCUGUAAAUGCUCAAAAACCUCAGCUGGCCUGACUGUAUAUCAUACUUAAUGCUUAUCAAAACAGCUGUAUACAGAGGCCUGCUUUUUAUUUAAACAUCAGAGUGAGCUGGCACUUUCACAGUUUAGUGUCAUUACUUCAGUUACUGCUACUCUUACUCUGCUCAUUCUUCACCCAUCAGCAAAGUUUUAAGCAUCUAAAGUAAAAGAGGAAGAGGCAGAGAAAGAGAGAGUCCAGCAUGUUUGAUCAGGUUGUUCUCAAACUUCAAUUCAAGAAUGUAAACACAUUUCUUGUUUUAGUAUUUUCACAUGAGCUGUUGAUUAUUAGAAGAUGAGAUAGGAUGCCACCUGUGCAGUUUGUGACCGAGCACCAAGGAGGAGUAUAUCUAAAGCAAGGGGACUCUUUUUUGUUGGUAAAAGACAGGGCAACAUCUGAAGAAGUGGGAAACUGUUGUUUGCAGUCAAUAGGACACAAAGCAUAGCAUGAAAUUUUGUUCCUUUAAGAAAGCUGGUGGGAAAAUAGGAAGGAACUAAAAUAGAUAAGCAUAGAAUGAAUGUAAAAUCACUCAAUACAUGCUUGCUGCUUAAUUUUGUGUUGCACUUCCAUCCAUCCACAUAGGGAGUGUUUCGGAAAAAAGAAGUGCUAUUUUUGCGAUAAGAGGUCAUAAGAAAGGAAUGCCAACUUUGGAGAUUAGAGGUUUCUUGUACAGUACACAUAUUUGUUUCUUCAGCGACCAAAAAUGUUUUUACAGUGCUCCUCUAACUGAGAUUGAUGGAUUAGUGGCUUGUUCAAUUGAGUACUCUUGACAAGCAUGUUAAAGAUGAAAACCAGAUAUUAGGUCAAAGGGAAACAUUUAUCCAAGAUUUUUUUUUUGUCCCUAAAGAAAUGCAAAUAAAAGCUUCCGUAAUUUCCAGACAACAAUUCCUGCUUUCUACAAGUUAAUCUGAUACAAUAAUAUCUGAACCUCUACGUAUAAUGGCCACUUAAAAAAGCAAAAAUAUGCCAGGUUGUAAGCUACAAUUACUAAUGCAACCUGUGACCCUGUCAGUUUCAACAAGCAAGGACAGAAAACUCAAUGACACCAACUCUGACGUGUCAGAGACAAGACGUAAAAGAUCUGAUAAAACACAACAUAAAAAACACAUGGAAACUACCCCGAUCAGGAGAAGCUUUGUGUUUAUAAUCUUUUGCCAACAUUUGUGUUUACCAUUAUGCAAUACUGAGAAGAACAGCGGUUAGAUGACGUGCAGUGGCUAUCUACAAAGACAAAGCAAAGCAGGAUAGGGAAAACACAAACCCCGUCCUAUGGUGAGUGAGGAGAGAAUGUUUGUUUAUACCCGACCCCGAUUAAUGUCUUGACCUCUUCAGAUGUCUGCUCCAUAGCUCCCUCUUAGUUUUAUUCCUGUGCCUCCCACACUCUCAUUCUCUCCAUUUUUACCUUCUUCCUCUCUCCCUCUCUCUGACUCUUUUGUUGCUGACUUGUAAUCCAGUUUGAGCUGGUUCCUGGUCUGCAAUCUGUCACAGAAGGAGCAUGGUCUUGAUGUUAUCAUGUCCAUCAAGAGUGGAUUUCCUGAGAGGAUAGAGUGUGUGUUUGUGUGUGCACACGCGUGUGUGUUUUUGGUUCCUUUCGGCCAAAUUUCAUGUAAUAAUAAUAACAGAUAACUUGUGUGCUGUGCAAAGUGGAAGACUGAAAGUUGUUGUAGAUUUUGAACAGCGCUGCCUUAGUAAUGCAUGCAGUUUAUCAUGGUGACAAUGAGACUAAUAAAUUGUACACAAACUGCUGUUGCAGCAGUAGAGUUGAAUUCUGAAAUAAAAGUACCCUUGCAGACAAAAUAAAAUAUGGCUUACAUAGAAAGCGUGGGUGGAUUUACUACUUUUUCUGCUGUAUUUGACUUUGGCUGUCCUCUGCAAAUGUGAUAACUCGUGCUCUGUAUAAGCCAUCACAGUGACUUAUCUGAAGUUGACACCAUAUGUUUAUGAUCAGAAACUGAACAUUCACUUAAUAAGAAGAGACCUUAAGUUGUCUGCGCUGUGUUCUUAUCACACUAAUUUACAGUCUUAUCCAGAGUGUCUGAGACACAGAGGUCCACAGACAUUAAAGACAAACUUAGGGAACUGAAGAUAAUAGGAAGGACAAAAGGCAUUUUUUUUCCCCACAACAGAUCAGCAAAGUGGAAUAUAUCAGAGGUUUUUUUAAUGUAAACUACCACAUGCUAAUCUUAUAAAACCAGCACUAAAAUGUUCUGGAGGAUUUUGAACAGAUGUAGAAAAUGCGGUAUCCCACCUUAAAUGUCUGAUUUACAGUAUGAUUUGUUGUAAAAAAAUUUAUGAGCAUAGACUGUAUAAUCAGAUUUGUCAGCUCGUUUACAGAUGACGCAAAAAGUGAAAAAUGAUAGUAUGCAUGAGACCGGUAAACAAAGUUACAGCAGGAGCUGUAAAUUGCCAGUUGGUUUAGUUAGGUCCGUCAGGUCAGUUAAGGUCUUUUCAUAUCAGUAGACAGUGAACGGAAAAGUGAGAGACUGGAGCUUGAGGACAAUAUUGUGAUAUAUGGAUCCAGUGAGUGGCAGUAUUAUGGUUUCCCAGCAAUUAGUGUCAAACUAAAGCUGGAUAAAGCUGUGCUUAAGUAACACUUAAAAUAGACAUUCAGUACUACAUUAGCCAAAUAUGUUAUUUUAACAAAAGAGAAAAAAAAACAGUGAGGAAUUCAAACAAGUCCCUCUCUUAUGUGCAUUCAUGUAGCCACACACUGUUAAACACCAGCAACUGACUCACUGUGAAACCUGCACAUGCAGACUUUUCAUCAAACAGCAGAUGCAGACCUGGUGCCAUUGUGAUCGCAAAAGAUCCAAACAAGACCAUUAUUGCCACAGCUAUCAAACCACCAAGAUAGAAAACACUCUUUUCUCAGUCUGACUUUUGAAGGCCAUCCAUGGGACUUACUUCUCACAAUGCAUUACACAAAAAUACACAUCAACACAAUUUAUUCUCUUCCCCCUCUGAACUUUUAACAGCAGGUGCAUGAUGAAUAGAAAUUAGAAAUAGUUCACAGUCCUGUUUUUGAAGGACAACAAGCAUCUAGCAUAUAGCAGGCUUUGCACCAAAUGCAAAACACAGCAUUAAAACAUAUUCAGGCAAGUUCAACCACAUCAUGUUUGGGCCCUUAAUACAAAACAGUUGCCCAGAGCAUCAGAGGUCCCGUUCUUGUCUUAAAAAAUUUCAGCUAAACAACGGUAUGUCAAAAUAUUAUCCUAAAAAAGACAUUUUGUGCUGGCACAGCGGCCCAUUUGGGAAGAAGGUAGAAAGAAAAGUGGGCAUUCACUUACCUAGAGAAAACCGCCCUCUGUAGUGGUCAAAACCGUGAUAACCAAAUCCAAAUUUUCCAAUGGGCUGAUAUUUCUGCUGACGGCCUCAUGUCCAUGGAGUUUCCAAUGAUAUCCUCAUUAUUCACCAGCAUCCAGGAAACAACAGAGUUCACUGACAGCAAACCAAAAGUCUCUCCUCUGUGUCAACUAUUCUCCACCAGUAGAUAUCCAGGAAUAAGAUGACACUCUUCAUUUCUGUUGGCUUAGUUUCACUUAUUUGCUUUAUGAGAAACUUACUAACAGUUUCCUUGUUUUUGCUAGCUAGCGGUCCUCUGCUUUUCCCUCCCAAACGACGAUUCGAAAUGGAACGUCCGCCUGACGUCAUCAAUCAAGGUAAAGGACGUUCACCUGUGUUCAAUAAUGCUGCGUUCGAGUGUCCUCGGAAGUCAGUAGUCAGAGCCGAAAAUGACGUCACACUCGAGUUACCAGCGAUUCAGUUACCAAAUCGGGGGGAAAAAAAACGCAAAAUCGGAGGCGGAAACAAGAUGGCCGCAUCCACGAAAGUUAUUUUAGCGCUCGCCUUGUCCUAAUAUAAGGCAAGCGCUAAAAUAACUCAAGUAGAUGUAGCCAUCUUGUGUCAGGCCUCCGAUUUUGCUUUUUUUCUGACUUGGUAAUUUAAAGCUGGUAAAUCGGGUGUGACGCCAUUUUCAGCUCGGACUCCUGACUUCCGAGGUAACUCGAACGCAACCUAAUCCCCAUAGUUUCGGGUCACCUUCCAGUACUCUUUUCGCUAUAUAAACUCCGUUGUGUUUACCGCAAAUAGCAGGGCAGAGAGGCGCUCUUUCACUCAUCUCAAGAUCUCAAAGCCUAUUUUCUAAGUGUGUACCCUGAGUGGAAAUUAUGAUAAGCUUAACUGCAAACCCAAGUUGGCCCUGGUUCAAUAUUUGAUAUUUAGUAGCUUACAUAUUGUAUUUUAUAAUCUUAACUGUUUCAGGGAGAUGAGGCUGCCUGUCAUACCAUACCAGAGAACUGAUAAUUUAAAGCCCCCCACAGACCUGCUGCAGCAUCAUGAGGUCAGAUUUAUAAAUACAGUGGCUUCUUUCUUACAAAUGAAUGUCUUUACAGCAAUAAUACUGUGGAGAUAAAAUGUAAUUGUAGCCUACAUACCCUGACCUCACCUGAUGUGGUAGGACCAAGACCCAUUACGUGACACAGACUGAAACCAACUAAACUUUCUUUGACUGAAGCUGCAAAGCCUCCUUGAAAACAUUGUGAUAUCAUGGCCAACCUUUCAGUCAGCAAAACAGCAGGCUGCAUGGCAUUCAUUGUCCACAGAGGCUGAUCUCCAGUGAUAGAGACAAAGUGGAAUGGCCGGGGGGCCAUGUCAAGCUAAUGAUGGCAGCCAAAGGUAAUUGGAUCGACUUAAGCCCCCUCAGGCACCGUAUUAGAAAAUCCCAAUCAAUGUCACUGUUGGAAGGACAAGAGGCGCUUAGCUUUCACAUGCAAUUAGAUUUAGCCAUGCAGCUAAGUAUUAUUCAUUAAAAAUGCAGGAAAAUUCCUACUUUCAGACAAGAGUCUUAACAGUUGCUAUUUGUCUUGUGAAUUUUUUUUGGAAGUUAGACAGGUUGACUGUGGGAAAAGAAAGUUGUAGGAAAGUCUGAGAAAUGCUCUUGGAGGGUCACUGUUUUUCC